UGCAAAAAGUGCAAAUAUAGGCCUUCUGGCAGGAAUCAAACCUGUGGCCCUGCGAUUUCGGCGCUGCGCUGGAGGGCCUCUAGUUGCAUUUUUUGUAAAAUAGGUCUAAUAGAUGUACAAAAUUCACAGUUCAAUUUUUUGCACUAAGUAUAGGUAAUCAUGCGAUGGGGGAUACAAUUAGGGAUUAAUAGUACUCGUGAUGUUUGGAAAUUUUGCCAAAAUUGGACGAGCCGCUGGGGCGAGUACUUGUUUAUUAUUAGCAUGACAAAAUUGUAUACGUACUUCUCAAUGUCAACAUCAUAUUCUCUCGCCAAAGCCCAGUCCUGCCAGACUUUCAACCAAAAUUUGGUGCUUUUGUUUGUAUUUUCAUUUAGUUCUUUUGUUCAAGCAAAAUUUGGUGCUUUCAUUCAUAUUUUCAUCUAGUUCCUCCACGGCAAUUUCAUUUCACAUUUGUGUUUAAAAUACGUUUCCAACAUUUUGUUUGUUUUGGGAAAAUCAUUAAUUGUACUCCUCUCAACCAAUCAGCAUCCAGUAAUUUUGUCAUGCUAAUAAUAAUAAUAGUAAUACAGUAUACAGUGUAAUAGUAUUCUUUCCAAAACCCCAUUCACCUGAAACUGCAUGGUUGUUUUGGGUUUUCUUAAUUAAUAAAUUAACAUAAUUUUUCGAAACGGAUUUUAGCUACGUGAUGCUGCCAUGAGCAUAGGCGGAUUUUCAUAUUUUUUACUGGGGUGGUGCCAGAAAUUUUAGGGGGGUGAGCCACGAGCAGGUGACUGAAGCAACACCAGGGCCUUUUUUAAGGAUUUUCCCGUGGGGGGGGGAAAGGGACCUUUCCGUGAGAUAAUAUAUUAGAGGGGGAUAGCAAUGGCUGAAGGCCACAUGUGUGGGCAAUAUACCACGCAUGAAUGGGGGGGGGGGAUCUGAGGUACUACCCCAGAAAAUUUUUGAAAUUUGAAUCCCGGAAAUGUCAUUUCCUGCAUUCUGAGCAUCCAAAUUUGGUCCAAAAUUUAUGCUAACUAUACUUGUAUUUGAAAUAAAUAAAGAAAAAAACGCACAAAAACUAAAAAAAAAUAACCAUCAUUUAUCAUUACUUAUUAGAGGGGGAUAACAAUGGUCAGGUGUGUGGGGGUGUAUUCCCCCAGAAAAUUUUUGAAAUUUGAAGCAUGGAAAUGCCAUUUCCUGCAUUCUGAGCAUCCAAAUUUGCUCUAAAAUUUAUGCUAACUAUACUUGUAUUUGAAGUAAAAGAUGGAAAAAAUGUGCAAAAAGUAAAAAAGAAUUUUAACUGUAAUUUAUCGGCUUAUUAGAGGGAUAAUCCCCAGAAAAUUUUUGAAAUUUGAAACCCGGAAAUGCUAUUUCCUGCAUUCUGAGCAUCCAAAAAAUAAAAAAAAUUAUUAACAAUAAUUUAGAAAAAAGUAACAAUUUAAAUCGAUUUUGUUAAACAAGGACAAGGGAUGAAGCCUAAAACUUACUUUCCGUUUAUGUAUUUGUUAAUCUUCGCUGGUUUGUUUGUAUAAUUUUAGGGAAAAGGGACUUUUCCUGGGGGGGCGGCAAAAUGUGAUUUUGUGGGGGGGGGGGCACAAGGGGGGACUCAUUUGCCCCCCCCCCUCCCAGCUUGUGUGUUAAAAAAGGCCCUGAGCAACACAAAGUGUCGCCAAACCCCAGUAAGGUCUAUAUUCUAGGGGUGGAGCACUAGAGCCGCGAGUGGGAGUCUAGAGAGCUGAAAACAAAGUAUUCCUGGAAAAAUUUGAAAAAAAUCAUGAUUUCUAGCUUCGAAAAAACGUUUUUUGAAGUUGUCAUAUCAAUGGAUUUGGCCUGUCCGAUUGUCUGUUGAGACUUGAGAAAGUUAAAGUUAAAUGAAGCUGUAAAAGUGUAAACCCAAUAGGCCAAUACACAAUAUGCUUUUACUUUUAUAAAAUCAUCGACAUUGUGUCGUUUGAAUCCGAGUACAAUUUAUGAUGCAACUCCGAUGUAAAUAAUAUUUGAGACGUAAAGAUUAAAUCUAGGCAAGACUAUUUCCUAAAAGAAUUAAAACUAAAAAUAAUGUUCGUAAAAUUUCCAAACGUUCUUUGCAAGCAAGCUAUUUGCAUGACAAGGCACUGCAAACUCUAUUCAGGGGAGAUAAUAGAGUUUCAAAACUUUACAAUUGGUCCAAUAAACCAGUGAAUGCAAGCGAGGAGCAAUUAGUUUCAGAGUAUUGCGUCUUUUUCUAUUUGAGUGUACUCCUAUGUUUAUUUUGUAUCAUCAACACUCUGCACGUUGGAGUGGACUAUUUAAUUAUUUUUUAUUAUGCCGAAUAUUGGGGGGGUUGAAAAUUUUUUUGGAGGGGUGGACAUUUUGUUUGGGGGGUUAUAGCUAAUAUUGGGGGGGUUGCACCCCCCUGCAACCCCCCCCCACACAAAAUCCGUCUAUGGUUACCUGUGUCAAAUGAGUCAUUCGUCCAGGGCGGCUAAGAGAUGUGCCAUCUCGGCCUUAACACUAAUUACACAGAAACUGAACCAGAAGCUGUUGUUAUUCUCCCUUACAAAUCAU